rnacentral:rRNA from 1 species
AUUGAACGCUGGCGGCAGGCCUAACACAUGCAAGUCGAACGAGUGGCGGACGGGUGAGUAAUGUCUGGGAAACUGCCUGAUGGAGGGGGAUAACUACUGGAAACGGUAGCUAAUACCGCAUACCAUCGGAUGUGCCCAGAUGGGAUUAGCUAGUAGGGGGGGUAAAGGCGCACCUAGGCGACGAUCCCUAGCUGGUCUGAGAGGAUGACCGGGCACACGGGAACGGAUACACGGUCCAGACUCCUACGGGAGGCAGCAGUGGGGAAUAUUGCACAAUGGGGGCAGGCCUGAGAGAGCCAUGCCGCGUGUAUGAAGAGGGCCUUCGGGUUGUAAAGUACUUUCAGCGGGGAGGCGUUACCCGCAGAAGAAGCACCGGCUAACUCCGUGCCAGCAGCCGCGGUAAUUG